GCCGCUAUGGUGAAAUUGGUAG
rnacentral:ncRNA from 2 species